rnacentral:rRNA from 1 species
UACGUAGGGUCCGAGCGUUGUCCGGAAUUACUGGGCGUAAAGAGCUCGUAGGUGGUUUGUCGCGUUGUUCGUGAAAACUCACAGCUCAACUGUGGGUGUGCGGGCGAUACGGGCAGACUUGAGUACUGCAGGGGAGACUGGAAUUCCUGGUGUAGCGGUGGAAUGCGCAGAUAUCAGGAGGAACACCGGUGGCGAAGGCGGGUCUCUGGGCAGUAACUGACGCUGAGGAGCGAAAGCGUGGGGAGCGAACAGG